UAAUACGGAGGACCCGAGCGUUAUCCGGAUUUAUUGGGUUUAAAGGGUGCGUAGGCGGUUUUAUAAGUUAGAGGUGAAAGCUCGAUGCUCAACAUCGAAAAUGCCUCUGAUACUGUAGGACUAGAGUGUAGUUGCGGAAGGCGGAAUGUGUAGUGUAGCGGUGAAAUGCUUAGAUAUUACACAGAACACCGAUUGCGAAGGCAGCUUUCCAAGCUAUUACUGACGCUGAGGCACGAAAGCGUGGGUAGCGAACAGG
rnacentral:rRNA from 1 species